GCCCUCUUCGCUCAGAGGUUAGAGCAUCACAUUUGUAAUGCAUGGUCAUCGAUUCGAUUUCGAUAGACGGCU
rnacentral:tRNA from 1 species